AACCUGGUUGAUCCUGCCAGUAGUCAUAUGCUUGUCUCAAAGAUUAAGCCAUGCAUGUCUCAGUAUAAGUCAUCUUAAGACGAAACUGCGAAUGGCUCAUUAAAACAGUUAUAGUUUAUUUGGUGGUCAAAUUUUAUUCGGAUAACUGUGGUAAUUCUAGAGCUAAUACGUGCAUAAAGACCCAACUUCACGGAAGGGUUGUAUUUAUUAGAUACAGAACCAAUUCGGGCAACCGAUAUUGGAUGACUCAUGAUAAAUGAACGGAGCGUAUGGCUUGAGCCGACGCUGUACCAUUCAAGUUUCUGACCUAUCAGCUUUCGACGGUAGGGUAUUGGCCUACCGUGGCAUUGACGGGUAACGGAGAAUUAGGGUUCGAUUCCGGAGAGGGAGCCCGAGAAACGGCUACCACAUCUAAGGAAGGCAGCAGGCGCGCAAAUUAUCCAAUCCUGACACAGGGAGGUAGUGACAAGAAAUAACAAAGCAGGCCACAACGUGGUUUUGCUAUUGGAAUGAGUAGAAUUUAAAUCUCUUUAUGACUAUCGAUUGGAGGGCAAGUCUGGUGCCAGCAGCCGCGGUAAUUCCAGCUCCAAUAGC
rnacentral:rRNA from 1 species